UAUUUCAGAAGGAACCGGAGACCUUGGUUGCGAUGUUGGACGUACCAAAAGAGAUACGGGCUUCCAGAAACUGAAUAGUUGCAUUUCACAGUCACUGGAUCCCCUUCGGCAACAGUGACCUGAUCUGGCUGAGACACCGACUGAGCUCUCAGCCCACCUGUAAAUGAAUCCACACUCCAUCAGUGAAGCUGCUGUAAAGCAUCGCCUAAGAGGAGUGUUAGCCUUGCAUCUUUGAGGGCCCUGGCAAUCACCUCAAGAGGAUAUCUGGAACAAAGCUUAAUGAAAAGGAUAUUUUAAACUUUUUGUGGGCAGAUUUAAGGGAAACGUGGAAGAGAAGGUGAAGCACCCAGGGCCUAGCAACAGCCAGAAGACUGAACCACUUGUAGGCCUGAAGGGAAGGAGAAGGAAGAAAUUACCAUGACCUGGGGACACCUGCGAAUGAGGGCAACUACGACCCAGCAGGACCUAUGGGCUGGAGUACAAGGAAGAAGAUGUGGCCCACAGCAAUGUCAAGGAGCUUCAGUCUGAGAUCCCAGUCUUAGGUCUCUCAUGGAAACAGUGGCAGACCCAUACCCCUCUGAGGCAAUCCUCACAUAUUGAAGAGCCCAGAUACCGCCCCCAAGAAAAGUUUACCACUAGUGCCGACACAGCCAGCAGCUGACAGAGCAGACCAAUCCAGAGAAAGGCUUCACACGGCUCCAUGCCACCGGCAUUGGCCUGUCAGCGUCCCUGCUGAGAAGACCUGGAACCCUGAACCAGGAGUCUCAGAGCAUGUCCUGGGAUGUGAAGGUACCAGAAGAAGGUGUAAGCAUUGGAUAUAGAGUGAUU